ACACACACACACACACACACACACUGAAUACUUCAUGCAUAAAUGAACGCUCUCUACUUUUGCCUAUCCAAGACUUCAAACAGAUUUGACAAGAUAACGGUGCUCUGGCCAUUCAUGCAUGGAUCAGAUCACUGGGGUUGAUAUCAGACUGCAUUAACCCCUCCAGUGUGGGUCUGCCUUCUCUGGUGAUUAGCAGCAACCAAGCUCCUGUCUGUCUGAAUGGAGAUAGAAGCUCUGGGCUCCAGCCAGACCGUACAUGUAAAACACACUGAUAACAACCACAUCACAAUGAACCCACCUCAAUGCAGUAGCAGACCUGCUGGAGUCUGUCUCUCCUGCUCUCAACAGGAACCAUCAAUAGGAUUUCUCCCUGGAGCUCAGAUCUGGUGUAUACAUCAUCCUAUUGAUGGGCUGACCUUGACAUGGACUCCCAUGGUGCCAUAAGGGUGAGAGAAACAUACUAUAUAUGC